UAUAUGCAACUCAACUCAGACUGAAGGUUCCUACUGCUCUUUCUCCGGAUUUUCAUGACUUUCUCAUUUCCUCUUCAAUUUUUCUUUGUCUCUUCUGGUCUUUCCUCUUGCGGCUCUGAAACGGUUAUUAGGUUUGUACUGUGAUUAGAAUACUGACAUUUACAAAACUCAAGUUUUCUUAACAACGGAUCCUCAACAAACAAAAAAACGUCCUUGCAUAACGACAGAAGCUUAUGAUAAGAAUGCCAAACGACUUGAAGUGUACAACGAUAUGACCAUGGCUGAAAAGAAUGCGCUUCUGUUGCAACGACGUCUGAAAAAAAGAGAGACAACAACUAAUCGUAUUCUCGCAAGUAAGACUUCUGUCAAUCCUAUUGAACAGCAUCUGUAAUGCAUGGUAAUUUCGCUGCUGGAGCCUCUUGUUCUAUGUCAAAAAUAGUCACUGAAUGUGAAGUUUUUACGUCACCUGAUGUGCUUCGCAAGGAGAAAAAUGUGGUGUACCCUUUUCAUGUUUUCGAAAAAGGUUCUACAUCUGGCACCUCAAAUGAGUCAAGUGCUACAUCUUUUGAGACGAUUUUGGCUGACGGUUAGUAUGAACAUAACAUAUCGUUUUUACUAUUUGCUGUUUCAUAAUUUUUUCAAUUGCUUAAGUCUGUUUGGCGAAUGCAGGUCAUGUAAAGAAAAAAAUUGACUAAUACUGGUUAUGGAAAAAAGAGAAAUAUGCCUAAUAAUAUCUGAUUACGCUCUAGAGUAUUUUCCACUUAAAAAGUGCCAAAAUGUGAAUUCUGCUCGGCCAAAAAAUUUCAGUUUGAAUUACCUUCAUUUUGUUGUGCUAACGGUACAGUUAAGUUGACUUAUCAUAGAAUGCCACCUACUAAGAAAUUUAUUUCUAGGAUCUUCUGCAAAAUGCAAGCACUUCCGGACGUACAUUAGAACAUAUAAUAAUAUGUUUGCUUUUACCUCACGUGGUGUCAAUUACGAUAAAGAUUUAGCCAAAAGAAAUCAUGGUAUAUAUACAUUCAUAGUUCAAGGUCAAAUGUAUCACUUUAUAGAUGAUUUAUAUCCUGCAGAGAGAAGGCCUAAAAAUUUGCAGUUGUACUUUUAUGAUAACGAUAAUGAGAUUGCAAAUAGAAUGGCUUGCUCUGAUAAAAUAGAUGAAUUAAUAGUGUGGGAAUUGAUAGACACACUAAAAGAUAAUCCAUAUUCUAUAUUUUAACGAACUUUAUCUGAGAUUUCGAACUUACAGAACUAUCACAUCGCACUUAAAUGUAACUCUGGAUUGGAUCAACGAAUAUUUAACUUGCCAAGUACUAUUGAGGUUGCAGCAAUAUGGGUUGAUGAGAAUGAUGUUGGUGCUAUUCAUGUAUUGCACGUUCAAAUUUAUACUCACAGCAAUAGAACGCAAAGAGUGAACUACUAUUUUGGGUGUUUUUAUCCUUUACAGUAUCCUUUACUAUUUCUGUAUGGCUAAAGUGGGUGGCAUUAUGGUAUUAGAAAGUUUCACGGAGAAGAAAAUAUGCCUAAAAAUUAUGCUUUGUCUGAUUUGAAACAAUUACCAAAUAUAAAAAAUUUCACGUCUGUUGACGGAUAUCUUGAUAUGGAAGAUCAAGUUAUGCAAAAAGGAAAACGAAAGAGAGAUACAGUUUUAGUUCGUGAAUACUACAGUUACAAGCUCCAGAUGAGAAACGAUGAUGAAUAUGAACUUCUACAUACAAGGAGAUUACUUCAACAAUAUUCAGUUGAUGAAUAUAUAAAAUUGGAGACUCAAAGAUUGGAUUUUGUUUUCUUCAAUCAAGAUUUGUUCAGAAUGGAUAUUUUAAAAGGACUUCUUGACAUUUUAAGACAUGGUGAAUGAGAUGCUUCUAAUGUUGGAAAAUAAACAUUUCUGCCAAAAUUUAUUUAUAGGAGGGCCUAGAGAUAUGCGUCAGCGUUAUAUGGACGCUAUUGCAUUAGUGCAGUAUUUUGGAAAGCCCGAUCUAUUUAUAAUGAUGACAUGUAACCCAGCUUGGCCAGAAAUUGAGGAACAUUUAGCACCUAGCGAUGAGGCUCAGAAUAGACUGAUUUGAUUAGUCGCGUAUUUAGGGCCAAAAUAGAAGAGUUGAAGACGGAUAUUCUAAAACGAAAUAUCUUUGGAAAAGUUACUGCUUUUAUGUAUACCGUUGAGUUUCAAAAACGAGGUUUACCUCAUGCUCAUUUUCUUAUUAUAUUGCAGAAUAACUAUAAAUUGUUGACAGCUGAAGCAUACGAUGAAAUAAUUAGGGCAAAAUUACCAGACACUAAUGCAGACUCAGAUUUGCGUAAGCUUGUUCUUAAGCAUAUGAUGCACGGUCCUUGUGGUAGUUUAGACCCAACAAAUUCCUGUAUGAGGAAAAAAACUGGUUCUUGCAAGUUCAAAUGUCCGAAUAUGUUUGCUGAUCAAACAUCAAAAGGAAAUGAUUCUUAUCCAAUUUAUAGCAGACGAAACACAAGUGAAGUUGUGAAAGUAAGAGGUCAUUACUUAGAUAACUCUUGGGUCGUUCCAUACAAUCUGUAUUAACUCGGUAAAUUCAACUGCCACAUAAAUGUUGAAGCUUGCUCUGAUAUAAAAGUUGUGAAGUACCUUUAUAAGUACAUCUGUAAAGGACAUGACAAAAUUGCAUUUUCUGUACAGAAUAAUGAUGCGAAUAUAGAAAUAGAUGAGGUAAAUGAAUAUCGGUCUGCUAGAUGGGUAUCACCUCCGGAAGCUGUAUGGCGUCUCUUUCGUUUUUCUAUUAUCGAAAUGUCUCCUAAUAUUUAUCGUCUUUAGCUGCAUCUUGAUGGACAACAACUUGUUUCUUUCAAGAAAAAUAUGGAUGUAAAUACGAUUGUAAAUAAUUCCAUGAUUAAAAAAACUAUGCUGACUGAGUUCUUCUAUAUGAACAAAACAGAUAAGAAUGCCAUAAAGCUGAACUUAUUGUACAGAGAAUUUCCUGAAUACUUUGUGUGGUCCUCCAACAAUAAAUUUUGGGCACUUCAACAGCGUCGUUGUGUUGUUGGUCGCGUUGUAACAUGUUAUCCAACAGAAGGAGAAUGAUAUUAUCUUAGAUUGUUAUUGAUGCAUGUACGUGGGCCGACAUCGUACGAGGAUCUUCUUGUGGUAAAUGGAGAACCUUGUAGUACAUUUAGAGAAUCUGUGGAGAAAAGAGAAUUAUUACAGUGUGAUAACAAUUUAACGGAAUGCAUGUCUGAAACAACAAGUUAUCAGAUGCCAUAUAGUUUAAGGCAUUUUUUUGCUACAUUAUAGGUACACUGCAACCCUACCAAUCCAAGAGAACUAUGGCAGCAAUUUGAAUAGUCUAUGUCUGAAGAUUAUAAAGUGUUACAGACUAUUGAAACAAAAGAAAUCCGAUAUCAAGUUCUGAACCAUAUUAAUGAUAUUUGCAUUCUAUGGGUCACAAUGUAAAUGAAUAUGAACUCAUCCCACAAACAAUUAGGCCUUCCGCAGCAGCGAAAGAAGCAAAAGAGAUUCACUUUGAAAGAACUAUUAUUGUCAGUGAAGACGAGGUACUAUUGCAUAAGAGACUAAAUAAAAAUCAACUGACAACAUAUGCUGUAAUUAUCAACAGAGUAUUUUCCAACAAAGCGGGCGCAUUUUUCAUUGACGGUCCAGGAGGAACUGGAAAAACUUUCCUAUACUGUGCUUUACUAGCAACUGUACAGUGUAUGGGAUAUAUCGCUUUAGCAACUGCGACUUCUGGUGUCGCUGCUUCUAUUCUCCCUGGUGGGCGUACUGCACAUUCAAGCUUUAAAAUUCCUAUUGAUAUUGACGAGAUUGUCAGCUGCAAUAUUAGUAAAGAAAGCGCACUUGCGAGUUUAAUUCGCGAUGCAAAAUUGAUUGUAUGGGAUGAGGCAUCUAUGGCAAAUAAAAGAAUGCUAGAAGUUUUUGAUUUGCUACUAAAAGAUCUCAUGGACAAAUGUAAUAUUCGAUGGAAAAGUAGUUAUUUUUGGGGGUGAUUUUAGACAAACUCUUCCCGUUGUGAGAAAUGAAAAAAAAAGGAAGAUUUCAUUAAUCAAAGUUUGUUAUAUUCCAGCAUUUGGGCCAAGCUAGAAAAAAGUCAAUUAUCUGAGAAUAUGAGAGCAAAAACAGAUCCAGCGUUCUGUGAUUAUUUGCUAAGAAUUGGGAAUGGACAAGAACGUCUUAACGCAACAAACAACAUUGAAGUACCAAAUUCUUUAAUUGUGCCUUUCACAACUGAAAGAGAAUCUUUAGAUAAACUAUUCACAGUGACAUAUCCAUAUUUGAAUUCAUCUGGUUAUGACGCUUCUUGUACAGACUCCCGUGUAAUUUUGACAACAAAAAAUAAUUUUGUCGAUGAUAUCAACGAUAUGCUUAUUGAUCAAUUUCCAGGAAAAGCAAGAACAUUUGUUGGUAUAGACCAUUGAAUCUAACAAUCAAUCACAGUUUGAAGAUCUAUUGCAUACUUUAAACCCUGCAGGUUUGCCUCCGUACAUAUUAUCUUUGAAAAAGAAUUGUCCAAUUAUGUUAUUACGAAACUUAAAUCCAUAUGAAGGUUUAUGCAAUGGCACACGAUUACACUGUUGUGAAUUUAAAACUCAUGUUCUAAGUGCUAAGAUUGCAGCAGGCGAUUUCAAGAAUACGCAUGUAUUUAUUCCAAGAAUACCAUUAUUAUCAUCAAAUGAUGAAAAAUUGCAUGUUCAAUUCAAGAGAACACACUUUCCAGUAAGAUAAUGCUUUGCUAUGACUAUAAAUAAAGCGCAGGGUCAGACAAUAGAUUUUGUGGGAAUUUAUUUGCGUGAACCUGUAUUUUCCCACGGCCAACUUUAUGUUUUCGAACUAUGUGAAAUUGUUGAUUCGACCUCCCAUCCCGACUAGCGAUGAUGAUCAUUCUACCUGUAACAUAGUUUACGAUGAAAUCAUUCAAAAGACAAUCGUGUGAUGUUUCUUACUACAAGACGAUUCUCUAAGUCUUUUACUCUGAAGUGGAUGAUUCCUUAGCAGAAUAUACUUCGUUUGUAUCUCUAAAUGUUAACCAACAGGUAUUUUCAUCUUCCAUUUGUUUUCAUCUCAACUUCAUCUUGAUCUCUAUCUAAUAUGAUUGCUUUUUUUUUUUUAUUAUAAAAAGUGAUUGAAUUAUUCAUUUAUGUAAUUUCUUCUUUCUCUAUCUGCUUUGCUAAUCCUCUGCUUUUUCUUCUGAGAUUCCUGUUGCCUGAGAUCCCCAUUUAGGAUUGUUUUCCGUGCUUCCUGCCUUUUCCAGCUUCCACGCUCUCCAUUGGUACCUUUUCUAGGUAAGCUUUGCGGUUAAUACUACAAAUUGAAUUAUCUAUAAAAACUUUGAAGUUUCAAAGUUGCAGUUACAAAAUUGCAUCAUGUAUCUAUAGAAGAUUUUAAUGGAAAUACCAGUAUAUCUAAUAUCUUACUUUCCUGGUGUUUUACAUCUAUAUCUGUAGUGGCUUCUGUUUUUCUUUAACUUUGUUCUUCUAGUUACAUAACCUUAUUCAUUCUUUAGUGUUUACCUAAAAUAAAGAAUUGCUAAACAAGACUGAUGAAUGGUUGUACGCUGAAUUAUUAACCUUGCUAGGACAUUCCGCGGUCAUUGCAAACUGUAACUGGUGACAAUUAAUUAAUCAUUCUAUGAUUGUUUCUUGGUGCAAGAUGGAAGGCUAAUAUAUUUUUACUCGAAUGUUGCGUAUAGGUAAAGCAUAUUACAUUUUAGUAGCAUGAUGUUUGUAGGUGUUGUUCCAAAAUAUUUUGCUUUCUCUUCAGAGAAAUAUAAUAUGUACGUGAUGAUAAAUAUAAUACUUGGAAAAGCCAAAAAGAAAAAGAGAGCAAAACAAAUGCAUUCCGAAAGCAAAGACAAGCCUGAUAUGUCUACAAAUCUGUAUGUUUCAUUUCUUUCGCUACUUGCUACUUCUCAAUUUCGUCAACAUCUGUUUUGACUCUUUAAGUCUCCUCUCUUGUGGAUCUAUGAAACAUUAGCAGUAAACUUCUCCUUGAGGUUUCCUUGCAGUUGGUGAGCUACUCAAGAAAAACUUUCCAGGGUACAUCAUGGUAGAGGUUUUAUGGGUCAACCCGUUCAGUUUGCAUUUCAGACUUCACGCGGUGUUUCAAGUAUCCAUGGGUCCCAGAAUAUCCGUGCCGGAUAGCUUCCACAGCCACAUCAGUGGAGAGGUUGCUUUGAGUGUGAAGAUACUAGCCACAUGGUGAGAGAUUGUCCCAGGCUCCGGAUAGAUGUGGCACCGCGGGGUAUUCAAGCUAUGAGCUCUGCUCCAGUUGCUGCUUUACCUGCACCGCCAGCUAGGGGUGGAGGUCAAGCGGGUAGAGGUCACCCUAGAAGGGGAGGCCGGGCUUAUUGUUAUGCUCUUUUUGGUUGGGCAGAUCUCAAACUGAAAAAAGGAGAAUAAGAGAUGAUACAGCUCGAGAAGAAACCAAGAGAAAACAAAUAACUCUUCAAGAAGAAAAACCCCGGCAAGAAACGAUCAGAGCAAAGACAAGGUCUACAAUUGAAUACAAGUAACUGCCCUGUAACUGCAUUACGUGCUAAAUACAUGCAGGAUAAGUUCAAGUCUAUCACGAGUUUAUCUUCGCCAAAACUAUUUGACAAACUUUUGCACACAUGAAAUAUUGAAGAGGGGUUUCUAUGUCUCUGUCAUACUUUUUCAUUUUUUUCCCAUGCCAUCUCACUUCAGAGUUCAGACUACACAAUUUUGUGCAGUGAUUGGAAAUGGAUUUUGUAAGCAUCUCUGUUUAAGGAGAUUCCCUGAAAUAUCAAGUGUUGCAAAUAUGAUUAAAGUAAAAAAGCACAAUUGUACAAGUGGGAUCUCAGCCUGAAAAAUCUACGUCUGGAGUGGGAUCAUAGAUUUAUGGCAAAAGGACUUUCCAACUGUACAAGGAAAGAUUGUUUAACAAAUGCAAUCCUUGCAUCAAACACCGACAACUAUCCUGAAGAAAGCAUUCUGAAUACAUUAGAACCAAGUGACCGGGUAAGCCGCGGGACUUCAUAUUGGUCAACUAGAGGAGAAACUGAUCCUACAGUUCCUGAGACACUAUCAUAUAAAUUUAUCUCAAACCUGUGCUUGAUUUCAGAAAUUCAUGUACAACCAUUUCAAGGUUGCAUCUCAAGUUCUAUUUUCUAUGAUGUUAUGGAUUUGUUCAUUCGGCUUAUUUGUUUUUUUUCCACAUUAACCAGAAACAUUAUGAUGUUGUAACAACAUAUUUCCAGCUUGGCUUUCCCCUUUAUUCAACAAAAGCUGUGAGAUUCAGAGA